GCCGGGCGCGGUGGCUCAAGCCUGUAAUCCCAGCACUUAGGGAGGCCGAGACGGGUGGAUCACGAGGUCAGGAGAUCGAGACCAUCCUGGCUAACACGGUGAAACCCCGUCUCUACUAAAACUACAAAAAAACUAGCCGGGCGAGGUGGCGGGCGCCUGUAGUCCCAGCUACUCGGGAGGCUGAGGCAGGAGAAUNAUUCUCCUGCCUCAGCCUCCCGAGUAGCUGGGACUACAGGCGCCCGCCACCUCGCCCGGCUAGUUUUUUUGUAGUUUUAGUAGAGACGGGGUUUCACCGUGUUAGCCAGGAUGGUCUCGAUCUUCUGACCUCGUGAUCUGCCCGUCUCGG
rnacentral:SRP_RNA from 1 species